CACCCGCGGCCCGAGUGGUGGUCAUUAUUAUUGAGCUUAAAGCGUCCGUAGCCGGUCUGGUAAAUCCCUGGGUAAAUCGAAUGGCUCAACUAUUCGAAUUCCAGAGAGACUGCUAGACUUGGGACCGGGAGAGGCCAGAGGUACUCCUGGGGUAGAAGUAAAAUUCUGUAAUCCUAGGAGGACCACCAGUGGCGAAAGCGUCUGGCUUGAACGGAUCCGACGGUGAGGGACGAAGCCCUGGGGCGCGAAC
rnacentral:rRNA from 1 species